GAAGAGUGCCCCGUCCCCCAGAGGCGUGGCCGCGUCGCACGUAAGCACGUACGCACGUAAGCACGUACGCACGCACGUCUCUCGCUUUGGCAUACUUAAGGCCUCAGUUCUCGGCCCCGCUUGGCAGUUCUCUUAAGGUCGGCAGCGGCAGCGAGGUCGGCAGCGGCAGCGAGGUCGGCAGCGGCAGCGAGGUCGGCAGCGGCAGCGAGGUCGGCAGCGGCAGCGAGGUCGGCAGCGGCAGCGAGGUCGGCAGCGGCAGCGAGGUCGGCAGCGGCAGCGAGGUCGGCAGCGGCAGCGAGGUCGGCAGCGGCAGCGAGGUCCGCUGUGCUCUUCCGCGGACUCUGAAUCAUGGCGACCACGGCCACGAUGGCGACCUCGGGCUCGGCGCGAAAGCGGCUGCUCAAAGAGGAAGACAUGACUAAAGUGGAAUUCGAGACCAGCGAGGAGGUGGAUGUGACCCCCACGUUCGACACCAUGGGCCUGCGGGAGGACCUGCUGCGGGGCAUCUACGCUUACGGUUUUGAAAAACCAUCAGCAAUCCAGCAACGAGCAAUCAAGCAGAUCAUCAAAGGGAGAGAUGUCAUCGCACAGUCUCAGUCCGGCACAGGAAAAACAGCCACCUUCAGUAUCUCAGUCCUCCAGUGUUUGGAUAUUCAGCUUCGUGAAACUCAAGCUUUGAUCUUGGCUCCCACAAGAGAGUUGGCUGUGCAGAUCCAGAAGGGGCUGCUUGCUCUCGGUGACUACAUGAAUGUCCAGUGCCAUGCCUGCAUUGGAGGCACCAAUGUUGGCGAGGACAUCAGGAAGCUGGAUUAUGGACAGCAUGUUGUCGCGGGCACUCCAGGGCGUGUUUUUGAUAUGAUUCGUCGCAGAAGCCUAAGGACACGUGCUAUCAAAAUGUUGGUUUUGGAUGAAGCUGAUGAAAUGUUGAAUAAAGGUUUCAAAGAGCAGAUUUACGAUGUAUACAGGUACCUGCCUCCAGCCACACAGGUGGUUCUCAUCAGUGCCACGCUGCCACACGAGAUUCUGGAGAUGACCAACAAGUUCAUGACCGACCCAAUCCGCAUCUUGGUGAAACGUGAUGAAUUGACUCUGGAAGGCAUCAAGCAAUUUUUCGUGGCAGUGGAGAGGGAAGAGUGGAAAUUUGACACUCUGUGUGACCUCUACGACACACUGACCAUCACUCAGGCGGUCAUCUUCUGCAACACCAAAAGAAAGGUGGACUGGCUGACGGAGAAAAUGAGGGAAGCCAACUUCACCGUAUCCUCAAUGCAUGGAGACAUGCCCCAGAAAGAGCGGGAGUCCAUCAUGAAGGAGUUCCGGUCGGGCGCCAGCCGAGUGCUUAUUUCUACAGAUGUCUGGGCCAGGGGGUUGGAUGUCCCUCAGGUGUCCCUCAUCAUUAACUACGAUCUCCCCAAUAACAGAGAAUUGUGCAUACACAGAAUUGGGAGAUCAGGUCGAUAUGGCCGGAAGGGUGUGGCCAUUAACUUUGUAAAGAAUGACGACAUCCGCAUCCUCAGAGAUAUCGAGCAGUACUAUUCCACUCAGAUUGAUGAGAUGCCGAUGAACGUUGCUGAUCUUAUCUGAAGCAGCAGAUCAGUUGGAUGAGGGAGACUGUUCACCUGCUGUGUACUCCUGUUUGGAAGUAUUUGGAUCCAGAUUCUACUUGAUGGGGUUUAUAUGGACUUUCUUCUCAUAAAUGGCCUCCCGUCUCCCUUCCUUUGAAGAGGAUAUGGGGAUUCUGCUCCCUUUUCUUAUUUACAUGUGAUUCUACUUGAAGACAUCUGAAAUUCUAUAGUUUAUGAAUGGAACUUCCUUUCACUGAAACUGUGACUGGACCCUUGCUAGCCAGCUGGUGGCUGGUAGACCAGCUGCAUCAUCAGGAGUUGGUUAGAAAUGCAAGUGCUCGGGCCCUGUCCUGGCUUGCUGAGUGAGAACCUGCAGGUAACAAGACUCCCAGGUGGCACUGCUGGCCGAGCGGGAGGAGCACGAGACUACAGGCCCAGGCAGCUUAAUGAGUUCCUGGCAAGGAGGAACCAGAUACAGGUGUGUUCAGGGCAUUUGCUCAGCAGCAGUGGGGAGUGACGCCCACCACAGCUCUGGCUAGUGCCAGCCUCAAUGUCCGUAUCUGCAGGCGCCUGAGCUCACUGAGGCUCACCUGGUCUCAUCAGGAGCUGCUGCCAGGCUUGUGUUAGAGGUGAGGAGUGGCUCAGGUUUCCACACAGUCACUCCGGAGGACGGAAGGCCUCCAUUACCAGUAAGAAUGAUUCUAGAUGAAUAAGCACGUGGUGUUACAGUGGAGGAGGCAGCAUUGGUGCCUUGGGGAGGAGAUGGCAGGAGAAGGGGUGGGGCUUAAGCUACCCCACACACUGUCUAGGAAAGGUCAUCCAAAAAGGAAAAAUACAGAACAAGUGUUCAUAAAAAUGUCAAACUGUACUGACAAAUCAGAAAUGGUAUGUGAUUCUCCAAGAUUUAAAAACCACCAGUCCUAAAGGUUGACAAGGAAAGUCUCCAGACUUUCUGGAGAGCAGCCUGGCCCUUGGGCAGUCAGUGAUGAAAAUGCUAUUUCCCUUUGGUGGUGUGUGGUUCUGCUGUAGACAGCUGUCUGGAAUGUGGACUUCUCCAGGAAGUUGAGCGUUGCUCCUGCCUAUACCAGGGAAGGAUGCUAAGUGCUCAUGGAUGGGGGCAUGGUGCGGGACAGGGUGGAACAUUUGCAGUGAUGCUGGGAAGAGAAGGAUACACGAGGUAGAGAACUCAUGGAGGUUCUUGGGAGGGUGGUUUGGGGCCAGGAUCCUCCCAGAGUCCAGAUGGAGUCAAGUUCAGGCAGGGGGUCUGCUGAGCCUUGCUAGGGAGGUAUCACUGGGCCUCUGGUCAGGUGGAAAAACUGGCUCUAGAUCCUGAGGGGCUUCCCAAGGUCCCCAGCAACCAAAUCCAGAUGAAAAACCCCUGGGUUAUGUACUUCAUUACAAAAGCAUAAUCUCACUGAAAAAAAACAUAGAAAUGCAUAAUUUGAAAAAGUCAUCCUUAAUCCUCCUACCCAGAUAUAACUCACAAUUUGAUGACUGUCCAUCCAGUAUUUUAAUUUAUCUUGUACAUCUACCUGUACAUAAAGACCUUUUUAAGACAAAAUUGUAACCCACUUUGCCAUUAUUAACUCAGGUUUUUGCUUAGUAAUGUAUCAUAUAUAUUUCACUAUGUUAAAAAAAAAAAAAAAGCUACUUUUCCAGCCUCUAUACCAUGCCUCCUUUGGAAGCAGUUGAAGAUUCAUUAGAAUAAUCUUUUAUUUGUUUAUUUUUUUGAGAUGGAGUUUCGCUCUUGUUGCCCAGGCUGGAGUACAAUGGUGUGAUCUCGGCUCACUGCAACCUCCACCUCCUGGGUUCAAGCGAUUCUCCUGCCUCAGCCUCCUGAGUAGCUGGGAUUACAGGUGCCCACCACCACACCUGGCUAAUUUUUCAUAUUUCUAAUAGAGUUGGGGUUUCACCAUGUUGGCCAGGCUGGUCUCAAAUUCCUGACCUCACGUGAUCCUCCUGCCUUGGUCUCCCAAAGUGCUGGGAUUAGGCAUGAGCCACUGUGCCCACCCAGAAUAAUCUUUAGAAGUGAUUUUCUUGAUCAAGGUACAUGUUUCAAAUUAACGUUGCAGAAAGAUUUUCCACCAAUUUAUACUCCUAAUGGUAUAUUUUCUGGGUUUUUUUUUUUUUUUUGGGUGGUUGAAAUUUAUUCAACAAAUACAUAUAGGAUGCCUUGUCUUAAAGCCAGGCAAUUUUCCUAAAAGAAAAACCAUAUAAAAAGGGUUCUAACCAAGAGCUAGAGUGUCCUGACCCUUUGAGGUAUGUCUAAAGUAUAGAAAUAGAAUGGUAAUGUUGAUGCUGUUGGCAUGUUUCUUUGUAGUAAGAUUGUUUAAAAUAAUACAUAGACAUAAAAUGUAUGACGAAAAUAGCACAGCACCGAAGAAAGGAGUAAUGGAAGUAUACUGUCAAGAUUCUUUAUUACUUGAAGGCAGAUUGUGAUGAAUUAAAGAUGCGAAACAUAUAUAAAAGUGUUAAGCAAUUUUUAGGUAUGAACCUUUAAAGCAAUACAAAAAUGUGAAACAGAAAUAAACAGCCAACGUAGGAGACAAAAUAAGAGUUCUAAGAAAUACUUAAUCUAAGAAUCCUGAAAAGGAAGGAAAAGGGAACAGAGAACUUAUGAGAUGGACAAAUACAAAACGGUAGUAGGUUGAAAAUAACCAUGUCAAUAAUUACAUUUAUUGCAGAUUGUCUGUCUCACCUCAAACUAAAAGAAAAGCAAGCUAAACCCAAAGGAAGCAGAAGAAAGGAAAUAAUAAAGAUGAGAGUAGAAAUAAAUGAAUAGAAAAAUAAUAGAGAAAAUCAAUAAAACCAACGGUUCAUUCUUUGAAAAGAUCGACAAAAUUGACACAUCUUUAGCAAGUCUAAGGAAAAAUAUGUUCAAAUAACUAAAAUCAAGAAUGAAAGAGGUGAUGGCACAGCUGACUGUACAGAAUACAAAGUAUCAGUGCCAUGGAUUGUUUGCCAACAGAUGAACCUUGAUAAAAUGGAGAAAUUCCUAGGAUAAACAGAUUAAAUCAGUAAUCAAACUUUCAACAAAGGAAAGCCAAGGCUUGUGAAUCCUGCUAAACUUUUACAGAAUUAUCACCAUCACAAUUUUUUUUUUUUUUGUUUGUUUGUUUUUGACGCAGAGUCUCACACUGUUGCCUGGGCUGGUGUGCAGUGGCACAAUCUUGGCUUGCUGCAACCUCCGCCUCCUGGGUUCAAGUGAUUCCCUUGCCUCAGCCUCCCAGUAGCUAGGAUUACAGGUGCCUGCCACCACAUCCGGUUAAUUUUUUGUAUUUUUAGUAGAGACGGCGUUUUACUGGGUUGGCCGGGCUGAUCUCAAACUCCUGAUCUUGUGAUCUGCCCCCGUCAGAUUCCCAAAGUGCUGGAUCACGAAAUCUUUCAAAAAAUAUAAGGCAGAACAUUUCCCAACUCACCCUGAGGCCAGCAUUACCUGACACCAAAACAAAGCUACCACAAGAAAAAACUAGAUCAAUAUCAUAUGAAUGUAGAUGUAAAAAUCCUCAAAAAACUGGCAAAACAAAUCCAGCAACAUAUAAAAAGGAUUGUACACUGACAAAGUGGGAUUUAUCGCAGGAAUGGAAAGUUGGUUUAAUAUCCAAAAAUCUGUCAAUGUAAUACACCCUAUCAAUAGAAUAAAGGACAAAGUCCACAUGAUGAUUUACAGAUGCAGAAAAAGCAUUGGACAAAAUCCAGCACCUUUUCAAGAUAGAAAAUAAGAAUGGAAGGGGGCUGCUUCAACCUGAUAAACAGCAUCGAUGAAAAACCACAGCAUUACCCGCUAAGGUUGGGAACAAAACAAGAAUGCUCUUGCCACGUCUAUUCCAACAUUGUACUGGAAGUUACGAGCCAGGACAAUUAAGCAAGAAAAGAAAUAAGGCAUCCAGAUCGGAAAGGAAGCAUCAAAACUCUCUAGUCCCAGAUGACAUGAUUUAUACCUAGAAAAUCUUAAGGAAUUGACACAUUUAAAAAAUCACCUAUCAGAACUUAUAAAUGAGGUCAGCAAGGUUGCAGAAUAUAUGUUCAACAUAGGAAAGCCAGUGUUUCUGUACACUAGCAGUCUGAACAACCUGAAAAUGAAAUUAAGAAAAUAAUUCCAUUUACAAUUGCAUCAAAAAGAGUGAAAUAUGUAGGAAUAAAUUUAACAAAAGAAGGGCUAUACUUGUUCACCGAAAACUACAAAUAGCUUGUUGAAAGGCAUUGCAAACCUAAAUAUAUAAAUGUCCCAGGUUCAUGGAUUGGAAGAUAACUUUCCCAAACUGACUGAUAGAGUUAGUUAGGCUUUGUGUCUCCACCCAGAUCUCAUCUUGAAUUGUAAUCCCCCUAAUCCCCACAUGUCAAGGGACAGACAAGGUGGAGGUAAUUGAAUCAUGGGAGCAGUUCCCCCCAUGCUAUUCUUGUGAUAGUGAGUUCUCACAAGAUCUGAUGGUUUUAUACGGGGCUCUUCCCACUUCACUUGGCACUUCUUGCCACCUUGUGAAAAAGGUUCCUGCUUCGUCUUCGCCUUCCACCAUGAUUGUAAGUUUCCUGAGGUCUCCCCAGCCACACUGAACUGUGAGUCAAUUAAACUUCUUUCCUUUUUAAAGCCCCUGGGCUCAGGCAGUUCUUCAUAGCAAUAUGAAAAUGGACUAAUAUACUGCUCUGCAGUGUUUAGGAGAAUGUGGAGAAACUGGAACCCCCAUACAUUGCUAGUGGGAUUGUAAACAGGCACAGCCUUUAUGGAAAACAGCUUGGCAGUUCCUCAAAAUGUUGAACGUAGGAGUUGACCUAGCAAUUCUCCUUCUAGGUCUAUACUCAAGAGAAUUAAAACAAAAAAUCUGCACACAUAAAGCUAAUGUGUUCAUAGCAUUGUUCAUAAGAGCCAAAAAGUGGACACAAGCCAGAUGUUCAUCAGCUGUAAGCAAAACUGGUGAAUCCACACAAUAUUACUUGGCAAUAAAAAGGCAUGAAGUGCUGACACACUACAACCUGGAUGAACCUCGGCAAUAUGCUAGGUGGAAGAAGGCAGACACAAAAGGCCACACGUGGUGUGAUUCCAUUUACAUGAAACGUCCUGUACAGGUAGAUCCAUAGAGAGAUUAGCAGGAAACCAUUCACAGUGGUUUCAGGAGAUUGAGGGGGGAAGAGGGGGAUGGGUGAAACGAGGAGUGGCUGAAAAUGAGUAUAGGGUUUCUUUUGAAGGUGAUUCUAAUGUUCUGGAAUUAGAUAAUCGUGAUGGUUGUACAAGCGUACUAACAACUGAAUUGCAUACUUUAAAAUGGUAAAUGUUAUGGCGUGUGAAUUACAUCUCAGCAGAAAUAUCAUGAGGAAUUUCAUGCAUCCUCUAAAGUUACACUUAAAAAGCACGAGCAAGGGAAAACAAGCAAAUUGCCUACUGCAAAAUUAAAAGACAGAUAUUGUUCGGCUGGAUUAUAAAGCCAUACACAACUCUAUACUAUUGCUUAUGAGAAAUAUAAAGACAAAAGUGAAAAGAUGGAGAAAAAUACACCAUGGUAAUGCACACAUCAAAAUAAACCUGAAGCAGCUCUAUUAAUAUUAGACAAAGGAGAUCUCAGAGCAAAGAAUAUUGCAAGGGACAAAGAGAGUCAUUUGAUAAUGAUAAAGGGGUAAUUCAUUAAAAGGAUAUAACAAUACUAAAUACCUAUGCACCUAAUAACAGAGCUUCAAAAUACAGGAAAUAUAGGAAGGAAAAAUGGAGAAAACUGCAAGGGGAAAUAGACAAAUCCACAGUGGCAAUUGGGGCUCUCAGUAACCCUCUCAGGAACAAGGCACAGGUGUCCUCUCCCUUCUGUUCAAUAUGACACUGUGGAUUCUGGCCAGUGCAACAAGGCAAGAGAAAGAAAAGGCCUCCAGGGAGGAAAAGAAGAAGGCUUUCUUCACAGAUUAUAUGUUUCUCUAUGUAGAAAAUCCUAAGGAGUCUACCACAAAGCUACUGGAACUAAUAAUUGAGUUUCGGGAAGCUAGCAUUCUACAAAGUCAAUAUAGAAGAGUCAGUUGUAUUCCUAUAUGCCAGGAAUGAACACUUGGAAUGGGAAAUUUGGAAAACACCACCAUAUACGGUACCAUCAAAUACAUGAAAUACUUGGGGGUAUAUUUGACAAAAGAUGAGCAAGCUCUGUAAUUGAAAGCUACAAAACGUUGCUGUGAGAAUUAAAGAUGUAAAUAAAUGAGAGAUACACUGAGCAGA